GUGCUCAUUUCGGCAGCAUAUAUACUAAAUUUGGAACGAGACAGAGAAGAUGAGCCUGGCCCCUGUGCAAAGGGCAUAGGGUGGAGUCUAUAACUGACUUG
rnacentral:snRNA from 1 species